rnacentral:rRNA from 1 species
AUUGAACGCUGGCGGCAUGCUUUACACAUGCAAGUCGGACGGCAGCACAGAGAAGCUUGCUUCUUGGGUGGCGAGUGGCGAGCGGGUGAGUAAUAUAGCUGAACUUACUGAGUAAUGGGGGAUAACUAAUCGAAAGAUUAGCUAAUACCGCAUAUUCUCUGAGGCGGAAAGCAGGGGAGCUUCGGGCCUUGCUUUAUUCGAGCGGCCGAUAUUUGAUUAGCUAGUUGGUGGGGUAAAGGCCUACCAAGGCGACGAUCAGUAGCGGGUCUGAAAGGAUGAUCCGCCACACUGGGACUGAGACACGGCCCAGACUCCUACGGGAGGCAGCAGUGGGGAAUUUUCGACAAUGGGCGCAAGCCUGACCCAGCCAUGCCGCGUGUCUGAAGAAGGCCUUCGGGUUGUAAAGCACUUUUGUCAGGGAAGAAAAGGCUGUUGCUAAUACCGACAGCUGAUGACGGUACCUGAAGAAUAAGCACCGGCUAACUACGUG